UGCGGAAUAUUGGACAAUGGGUGAGAGCCUGAUCCAGCCAUCCCGCGUGAGGGAUGACGGUCCUAUGGAUUGUAAACUUCUUUUGUACAGGGAUAAACCUACUCUCGUGAGGGUAGCUGAAGGUACUGUACGAAUAAGCACCGGCUAACUCCGUGCCAGCAGCCGCGGUAAUACGGAGGGUGCAAGCGUUAUCCGGAUUUAUUGGGUUUAAAGGGUCCGUAGGCGGACUUGUAAGUCAGUGGUGAAAUCUCAUAGCUUAACUAUGAAACUGCCAUUGAUACUGCAGGUCUUGAGUAAAUUUGAAGUGGCUGGAAUAAGUAGUGUAGCGGUGAAAUGCAUAGAUAUUACUUAGAACACCAAUUGCGAAGGCAGGUCACUAAGAUUUAACUGACGCUGAUGGACGAAAGCGUGGGGAGCGAACA
rnacentral:rRNA from 1 species